GUGGGGAAUCUUCCACAAUGGACGAAAGUCUGAUGGAGCAACGCCGCGUGAGUGAAGAAGGUUUUCGAAUCGUAAAGCUCUGUUGUCAGGGACGAAUGUUGAGACCGAGAAUAUUGGUUUCAAAUGACGGUACCUGACGAGGAAGCCACGGCUAACUACGUGCCAGCAGCCGCGGUAAUACGUAGGUGGCGAGCGUUGUCCGGAAUUAUUGGGCGUAAAGGGAGCGCAGGUGGGCUGUCAAGUCUGUCUUAAAAGUGCGGGGCUUAACCCCGUGAUGGGAUAGAAACUGGCAGUCUUGAGUGCAGGAGAGGAAAGCGGAAUUCCUAGUGUAGCGGUGAAAUGCGUAGAUAUUAGGAGGAACACCAGUGGCGAAGGCGGCUUUCUGGACUGUAACUGACACUGAGGCUCGAAAGCCAGGGGAGCGAACGGGAUUAGAAACCCUUGUAGUCC
rnacentral:rRNA from 1 species